AUUGAACGCUGGCGGCAGGCUUAACACAUGCAAGUCGAGCGGGGUGAUGGUGGUUGCACUAUCACUUAGCGGCGGACGGGUGAGUAAUGCUUAGGAAUCUGCCUAUUAGUGGGGGACAACAUCUCGAAAGGGAUGCUAAUACCGCAUACGUCCUACGGGAGAAAGCAGGGGAUCACUUGUGACCUUGCGCUAGUAGAUGAGCCUAAGUCGGAUUAGCUAGUUGGUGGGGUAAAGGCCUACCAAGGCGACGAUCUGUAGCGGGUCUGAGAGGAUGAUCCGCCACACUGGGACUGAGACACGGCCCAGACUCCUACGGGAGGCAGCAGUGGGGAAUAUUGGGCAAUGGGGGGAACCCUGAUCCAGCCAUGCCGCGUGUGUGAAGAAGGCCUUAUGGUUGUAAAGCACUUUUAGCGAGGAGGAGGCUCUUUUGGUUAAUACCCAAGAUGAGUGGACGUUACUCGCAGAAUAAGCACCGGCUAACUCUGUGCCAGCCGCCGCAGUAA
rnacentral:rRNA from 1 species